rnacentral:rRNA from 1 species
GGAGGACCGAACCACAGCCUGUUGAAAAAGGCCUGGAUGAGGUGUGGAUAGGAGUGAAAAGCUAAUCGAGUAUGGUGAUAGCUGGUUCUCCCCGAAAUGCAUUGAGGUGCAGCCUUGUUUGGUCUAUUUAUGGGGGGUAGAGCACUGAAUGAGUAAGGGGGCAGAUGUGCCUACCGAGCUCAAUCAAACUCCGAAUACCCAUACAAUACAAACGGGAGUGAGACUACGGGUGCGAAGAUUCGUGGUCGAAAGGGAAACAGCCCAGACCGACAGCUAAGGUCCCAAAGCCUGUGCUAAGUGUUACAAGGAUGUGGGGAAGCAAAGACAGCCAGGAGGUUGGCUCAGAAGCAGCCACCCUUGAAAGAGUGCGUAACAGCUCACUGGUCGAGCGUCCCUGCGCCAAAAAUGUGGGGGGCUAAGCACAGCGCCGAAGCUUCGGAUUUAACGGAGAUAUCCGUUGACUGGUAGGGGAGCGUUCCAUACGGGACGAAGCAGAACUGUAAGGUUCUGUGGACUUUAUGGAAGUGAGAAUGACGGCAUGAGUAGCGAAAAGUGUGCGAGAAACACACUCACCGAAAACCCAAGGAUUCCUGGGGAAGGCUCAUCCACCCAGGGUUAGGCGGGACCUAAGGCGAGGCCGAAAGGCGUAGUCGAUGGACAACAGGUAGACAAUCCUGUCCUUCGUACGAUCGAUUGACCGAUGGAGUGACGCAGAAAGCUAUGUGCGCCGGGUGAUGGAAGUCCCGGUCCAAGGAAGUAGGCUGACAGAGGAGGCAAAUCCCCUUUGUCCCAAGGCCGAGAUCUGAUGGGGUAGUGAGUUAUCACGGGAAGGCACAAAUGCUAUGCUGCCGAGAAAAGCUUCUAGGGAGAGAGUACGUACCCGUACUUCAAACCGACACAGGUGGGUUGGCUUAGAAGGCUAAGGUGAACGGGAUAACCCUUGUUAAGGAACUCUGCAAGUUGACUCCGUAACUUCGGGAGAAGGAGUGGCUGGAGAUGUUAAGACUAUACGUUGUAAGCAUCUUUGGUUCGCAGAAACCAGGCUCAGGCGACUGUUUAACUAAAACACAGGACUCUGCUGAAGGCGCAAGCCGAAGUAUAGGGUCUGACACCUGCCCGGUGCUGGAAGGUUAAAGGGAGAGGUUAGUCGCAAGGCGAAGCUUUGAACUGAAGCCCCAGUAAACGGCGGCCGUAACUAUAACGGUCCUAAGGUAGCGAAAUUCCUUGUCGGGUAAGUUCCGACCUGCACGAAAGGUGUAACGAUCUGAGCGCUGUCUCAACAGGGGGCCCGGUGAAAUUGUGGUACUGGUAAAGACGCCAGUUACCCGCAGUAGGACGGAAAGACCCCGUGGAGCUUUACUGUAACUUGAUAUUGGAUUUCGGUACACUCUGUAUAGGAUAGGUGGGAGGCUUUGAAGUCAGUGCGCCAGCGCUGAUGGAGCCGUCCUUGGAAUACCACCCUUGGUGUGCUGGGAUUCUAACCGCUGCUGCUGAAUCGCAGAGCGGGACAUUGUCAGGCGGGCAGUUUGACUGGGGCGGUCGCCUCCCAAAGAGUAACGGAGGCG